UACGUAGGGCGCAAGCGUUGUCCGGAAUUAUUGGGCGUAAAGAGCUCGUAGGCGGCUUGUCGCGUCGGAUGUGAAAGCUCGGGGCUUAACCCCGGGUCUGCAUUCGAUACGGGCAGGCUAGAGUGUGGUAGGGGAGAUCGGAAUUCCUGGUGUAGCGGUGAAAUGCGCAGAUAUCAGGAGGAACACCGAUGGCGAAGGCAGGUCUCUGGGCCACUACUGACGCUGAGAAGCGAAAGCAUGGGGAGCAAACAGG
rnacentral:rRNA from 1 species